UACGGAGGGUGCAAGCAUUAAUCGGAUUUAUUGGGCGUAAAGGGCGCGUAGGCGGUAUGAUAAGUCAGAUGUGAAAUCCCGGGGCUCAACCCCGGAACAGCAUUUGAAACUAUCAUUCUAGAGGGUAGGUGGAGAAAACGGAAUUCCACAAGUAGCGGUGAAAUGCGUAGAUAUGUGGAAGAACACCGGUGGCGAAGGCGGUUUUCUAGCUUAUUCCUGACGCUAAGGCGCGAAAGCAAGGGGAUCAAACAGG
rnacentral:rRNA from 1 species